UCAACUUUCAAGAAGCGGUUUCUUGUCAAGAGCAACCAUGAAACAAGCAGGCAGAAACACAACGCAGGCAUGAGACAUUUCAGGCGAGAGAGCCACAUCUGAGCCGAAAAGCUGGGAGGCUGAUGACAAGAGAGCUGGUGUUGACAAGGAGCACUUCCUGGCCACAGACGAUCAAUUCCCCUAUCAGAGGCGUUCUUCAGACAGAAUAGGUUUGGAAUGUGAAAGGAAACGCAAGUGCCGAACAGCCACGGGAUAUGGGCAGGACCAGUCAAUCAUCAUCAAAAGUGAGGGGCGGUACUAGGAAUGUGGGGAACUUCCACACUUCCUCACAAAUGAAUUUAAAAUUUCCAGCAGCAAUGAGGCUUAUCGGAAAGAUAAAGGCAGCAGGAAACCGUGGCCUCAGGAUGGAGAGUGUGGAUGGAGUACAUCAUUUGUUCAGAGAGAACGAGAGAGAGAAAGACAAGUGCAGAAGAGGAGCACUGAGGAAAGAGAAAGGUGGA